rnacentral:lncRNA from 9 species
CCUUUUUGUAAAUAGUUGCUUUUUGUAAAUAUUUGCUAAAUACACAUCUUUUCUGAUUUGCACAAGGAAGAGUAAUGAGCCUUGUGGCAGAACACAAUGCACCGUCAGUUCCCACCCUUUCCCUGGGAGAAGCUUGGUCUGGAAUCAUUCACAGGACACCACCUUGUCCAGGAAGUGAUUAUUUGCAUGAAGAUUUGCAUUUAAAUGGAUGUGGAGAGUACAUUAACAACACCUACACCAACCAUGUAAAAGCUGCACAGUAUUUGUUGCUGCCAGACAUGAAUGGGGAAAAGAAAUCAAUGAGUGUUUUGCAAGGAGAGUCCUCAGGAAACAACAUAACUUGUGCACAAGAUUUGCUGUCUAAACAUUUCUUUCAGAGAAAACAUUUGGGAAGCAAUGACCAUUCUGAUGUGCAAACUCGGUUUACCUGGGACCAGGGGAAGCAGGUGAGGAUGACCGUCUUGUAUCAACUCCUUACCUGUCAUUAUAGUUUCAUACCUUCUCUGGCAUUCAAACCUGUUUUGGU